ACCUUCGGGCCUCUUGCCAUCAGAUGUGCCCAGAUGGGAUUAGCUUGUUGGUGAGGUAACGGCUCACCAAGGCGACGAUCCCUAGCUGGUCUGAGAGGAUGACCAGCCACACUGGAACUGAGACACGGUCCAGACUCCUACGGGAGGCAGCAGUGGGGAAUAUUGCACAAUGGGCGCAAGCCUGAUGCAGCCAUGCCGCGUGUAUGAAGAAGGCCUUCGGGUUGUAAAGUACUUUCAGCGGGGAGGAAGGUGUUGUGGUUAAUAACC
rnacentral:rRNA from 1 species